rnacentral:rRNA from 1 species
GAUGAACGCUGGCGGCGUGCCUAAUACAUGCAAGUCGAACGAAACUUCUUUAUCACCGAGUGCUUGCACUCACCGAUAAAGAGUUGAGUGGCGAACGGGUGAGUAACACGUGGGCAACCUGCCCAAAAGAGGGGGAUAACACUUGGAAACAGGUGCUAAUACCGCAUAACCAUAGUUACCGCAUGGUAACUAUGUAAAAGGUGGCUAUACUGCCGCUUUUGGAUGGGCCCGCGGCGCAUUAGCUAGUUGGUAGGGUAAAGGCUUACCAAGGCAAUGAUGCGUAGCCGAAUUGAGAGGUUGAUCGGCCACAUUGGGACUGAGACACGGCCCAAACUCCUACGGGAGGCAGCAGUAGGGAAUCUUCCACAAUGGGCGAAAGCCUGAUGGAGCAACGCCGCGUGGGUGAAGAAGGUCUUCGGAUCGUAAAACCCUGUUGUUAGAGAAGAAAGUGCGUGAGAGUAACUGUUCACGUUUCGACGGUAUCUAACCAGAAAGCCACGGCUAACUACGUG